rfam:Chloroflexi bacterium RBG_16_48_8 RBG_16_scaffold_9690, whole genome shotgun sequence.
UGGGAAAAGUCUAUUUCGCCCAAGACAGCAGGUGCAUCCUGAACGUUGGGGCUUAAUACCCUGCCGAGGUGAAGACCUAUAGAAAACGGCUGAAUCAUGUCGUUGAGUAAGGUGUCUUCGCUUCGGUUGGAUAGGAGCGAAGAUUUCUAUUGUGGAAG